rnacentral:lncRNA from 10 species
CCGGAACUCCAGAUGGCCCGCAAGCGCCGCGCGCAGCGCCGGUUCCCGCUCGCGCCUCUCCCUCCACACCUCCCUGCAAGCUGAGGGAGUGGACUCUGGCCUUGGCCAGCCCAGAAAGGGGCUCCCACAGUGCAGCCGUGGGCUGAAGGGCUCCUCAAGUGCCGCCAAAGUGGGAGCCCAGGCAGAGGAGUCGCCGAGAGCGAGCGCGGGCUGUGAGGACUGCCAGCACGCUGUCACCUCUCAAUAACGCCCAUCCCAACGUUUCCUGAGGAAUAAUUUUGGUCGUGUUCCUGCUACUCAGCUUUUCGUGGUUCCUGCUCAUUUUCAGAGUCUAACAUUCCAGCUUUUCCGGAAAUUCUAUACUUUGAUGUAAAAGUUUUCAAAGAAAUGCUUUGGGCAGAAGAGACUCAUGGAAACUGGUUCUCAGCUUUUGAAAAUCCCCAAAUCUCCUUAGAAGAACUCACAGAGAAAUAAAACAAAACCAAAAACCUAUGGACAACAUAAUAUGAAGAAAAAUAUGAGGCAAAAAUAUAACAACAAACCAACUUCCAAGUAUCUAUGUUGGAAAUAAUUUACCAACAACUACAAGGCCUGUGUGGUAUAAUCUUCCCUAUGUGCAG